UACGAAGGGGGCGAGCGUUGUUCGGAUUUACUGGGCGUAAAGGGCGCGCAGGCGGUUCUGUUUGUCGAGUGUGAAAGCCCCGGGCUCAACCUGGGAACUGCGCUCGAAACGGCGGAACUAGAGUUCGGGAGAGGAGAGUGGAAUUCCCAGUGUAGAGGUGAAAUGCGUAGAGAUCCGGAGGAACACCAAAGGCGAAGGCAGUGUCCUGGGGAGUACCUGACGCUCAGGUGCGAAAGCCAGGGGAGCGAACGGG
rnacentral:rRNA from 1 species